AUACUUUUAAAAGUACCAAAAGUAUGAAGUCAUUGUGCUUAUAGGUUUUCAGCUUUUGAAUGAGUACGAUUAGAAUAAUAAUGAUCCCUUACGGUUGAGUGGUUGAUUAGUUAAAGAAUAUGAUCUAAUGAGUGAAAAUGAUUUAAAAGGUAAAUCUAGCGAUGAAAAAUUUAUAAGCACUAAGUGUUUGGUGGUUCUAAAAGCACCAUAGCGGGACUUUAUAUAUAUAUAUAUAUAUAUAUAUAGAAUUGAGCUCCUAUGCUUUUUAAAAGUACCAAGUUUUUGGUGCUUUUAAGUUUUUAGCCCUUGGAUUAAGGGAUGUGCGGUUAAGAUGAUGUGGGCCUCCUAGGGUUAAGUGGGUGGUUGGUUGAAUAGUAUAAUCUAACGGGUGAAAAUGAUCAAAGGGGUAGAUCUAACGGUAAAAAAUUUACAAGCACCAAAUACUUGAUAUUUUUACAAGCACCAUAACCGGACUAUAUAUAUAUGAAUUAGGCUGGAAUAUUAUCAAUAGCACCAAGCCAUUGAUGCUAUUGAUUUUUUAGCCCUUAGAUUGAGAAAUGUGCGAUUAGGAUGAUGUGGGCCCCCUAGGGUUGAGUAGGUAGUUGGUUGAAUAGUAUAAUCUAACGGAUAAAUAGAAUUAAAGAGUUAAAUCUAACGGUAAAAAACUCAAUAGCACCAAAUCCUUGGUGCUAUCGAUAGUAUCCCAGCCGGACUCUAUCUAUAUAUAUAUAUACACACACAC
rnacentral:lncRNA from 1 species